UACGUAGGGGGGCAAGCGUUGUCCGGAAUCAUUGGGCGUAAAGAGCGUGUAGGCGGCCCGGUAAGUCCGCUGUGAAAGUCCAGGGCUCAACCCUGGGAUGCCGGUGGAUACUGUCGGGCUCGAGUCCGGAAGAGGAGUGUGGAAUUCCUGGUGUAGCGGUGAAAUGCGCAGAUAUCAGGAGGAACACCAAUGGCGAAGGCAGCACUCUGG
rnacentral:rRNA from 1 species